CAAUGAGUUCUUAGCUUUGAGAACUGAAUUCCAUAGGUUGUUAGAGGUUAGACCUAUGGUGCUUAGUUCCAUAGCUUGGAUCCCACUGGC
ensembl:miRNA xtr-mir-146a xtr-mir-146a